CUUUGACAGGAUAUCAGGUGAAAUUAAGUCAGCAGUUGGAAGCAGAUCAGUUGCAGCUCAGCCAGCAGGAUGAGAAGAAUCAGAAAGCAGUCAGUCAAUACCUAAAGCAACUACAGUCCUUCAAGUCUUGCAGUCACAGUCACGAGUCACCAUCCCAGCGGCCUCUAAGAAAGAAAACUGUCGACUUAAUGGAGAGAAAUAAGAAAACCCUUUCCCUGUUUAUUCUGCUGCCUCUGCUGCUGCUCUGCAGAAGUGAUGAGUGUUCCAGCCUGCCAGAGAAUCUCACUUGCUACACUGACUACAAUAGAAACAUCACAUGUUUGUGGAACAGCAGAAACGUGUCUGAUGACACUGCAUGCACGAUACAUGCUCAAAAUAAACGCCUCGACA